rnacentral:rRNA from 1 species
AGCAGCCGCGGUAAUUCCAGCUCCAAUAGCGUAUAUUAAAGUUGUCGCAGUUAAAAAGCUCGUAGUUGAAUUUCGAGAUCGGCUUACUGGUCGUGCUUUUGUACGUACUGGUGAAUCGGUUUCUCCUUUCUGACGAACUUUAAUGCCAUUAAUUUGGUGUUUUAGGGAAUCAGGACUGUUACUUUGAAAAAAUUAGAGUGUUUAAAGCAGGCUCACGCUUGAAUACAUUAGCAUGGAAUAACGGAAUAGGACGUUCGAUUCUAUUUUGUUGGUUUCUAGGAUCGACGUAAUGAUUAAUAGGGAUAGUUGGGGGCAUUAGUAUUCAAUUGUCAGAGGUGAAAUUCUUGGAUUUAU